CAGCAAACUAGUGUGAGAGGAACUUCGAAUGUGAAACUUAUGGGUUACAACUGCGGGGUGUACAUUUGUAUGGAAGUAUAUUGGCAUAUGGUUUUACGAGGAACCCCAUAGAGCAAAGAAGUAGUGGAGCAAGUUCAACUGAAGGUUGAACAAAGAUAAGAGGACUUCGUCCACAUUGAUAUGCCUAUGUAUGUAUAUGCUCACCUACACAUGCAGUCCAUUCGUAAAGGGUACAUUUAGCGACGACUGCUUUGGCAACAUACAUAAAUACACAUUUGUUUAUUUCGCAGUGGACCCAAUUCAAAUGCAAAUUAAGUUCAACAAAUUCACAUCGCACUAAGGAUGGCACAAAUUGGUUUUUAUCACAACAUUUGGCCCCUGGAUCCUCCGCAACUACAGAACAUUUAUUGCCGCAACAUUAAUAACGUUAAAACAUUGAUUUCUCAUGGCAGUAAUAGAUGUAGCUCAUGAUUUAAUUAUUAAAGGUUUGCUCACUUGUGACAUUCGAAUUUCGACACUCCCUUACAAAAGGUUGUAUUCAAGAAGGGUGAAGAAAGUGGAGCAAUUAAACCCUCUUGUUAAAAAUGGUAGUAAACGUGUUUUUACACUUAAAUGGAAACACACUGCGAACGGUUUAAAAAAUAAGUUUAAAUUAAAAUUUGAAUGUAAAUGUCAUAUUUCAUGGACAAU